rnacentral:pre_miRNA from 1 species
AAAGUUUUCUUUUUAUCGCCCAUAUUUUUCUAGACGUCCAUCUUAACAGUUUCUUUUUGUUCUUUUAUAGCGUGUAAACUGCUAAAAUGGAGGUUUAGAAAAAUACGGGCGAUAAAUGAAAACUCU